rnacentral:rRNA from 1 species
UAAGGAAUAUUGGUCAUGGACGCAAGUCUGAAACCAGCCAUGCCGCGUGGAGGAUGAAGGUCCUCUGGAUUGUAAACUUCUUUUAUCUGGGACGAAAAAGGGUCUUUCUAGAUCAACUGACGGUACCAGAUGAAUAAGCACCGGCUAACUCCGUG